rnacentral:rRNA from 1 species
GACGGGGGGGGCAAGUGUUCUUCGGAAUUACUGGGCGUAAAGCGCACGUAGGCGGACUGUUAAGUCGGGGGUGAAAUCCUGGGGCUCAACCUCAGAAUUGCCUCCGAUACUGGCAGUCUCGAGUGCGGGAGAGGUGAGUGGAAUUCCCAGUGUAGAGGUGAAAUUCGUAGAUAUUGGGAAGAACACCAGUGGCGAAGGCGGCUCACUGGCCCGUAACUGACGCUGAGGUGCGAAAGCGUGGGGAGCAAACAGG